rnacentral:ncRNA from 1 species
AUACAUUCGUAUCUACGGCAGGAAGUGCCGAAAGUUACGCCUUUGGAGAUAUGAUGUGUGAGACCUGUA